rnacentral:rRNA from 1 species
UACGUAGGGUGAAAGCGUUAAUCGGAAUUACUGGGCGUAAAGCGUGCGCAGGCGGCUUUGCAAGACAGAUGUGAAAUCCCCGGGCUUAACCUGGGAACUGCAUUUGUGACUGCAUGGCUGGAGUGCGGCAGAGGGGGAUGGAAUUCCGCGUGUAGCAGUGAAAUGCGUAGAUAUGCGGAGGAACACCGAUGGCGAAGGCAAUCCCCUGGGCCUGCACUGACGCUCAUGCACGAAAGCGUGGGGAGCAAACAGG